rnacentral:snRNA from 1 species
GUUGCUUCUCAGCCUUUUGGCUAAGAUUCAGCAUAGUAUCUGUUCUUAACCAGUUUAAUAUUUGAUAUGUCCUCUAUUCAAAGACAACAUAUUAAAUGGAUUUUUGGAGCAGGAAGAUGGAAUAGGAGCUUGCUUUGUCCCCACAUCAACCUGGUAUUAAAGUAUCUCAAGGAACAGUGUACUCCCA